rnacentral:rRNA from 1 species
UACGUAGGGGGGCUAGCGUUGUCCGGAAUCAUUGGGCGUAAAGCGCGUGUAGGCGGCCCGGUAAGUCCGCUGUGAAAGUCGGGGGCUCAACCCUCGGAUGCCGGUGGAUACUGUCGGGCUUGAGUGCGGAAGAGGCGAGUGGGAAUUCCUGGGUGUAGCCGGUGAAAAUGCGCAGGAUAUCAGGAGGAACACCAAUUGCGAAGGCAGC